GAUGAACGCUGGCGGCGUGCCUAAUACAUGCAAGUCGAGCGAACAGAUAAGGAGCUUGCUCCUUUGACGUUAGCGGCGGACGGGUGAGUAACACGUGGGUAACCUACCUAUAAGACUGGAAUAACUCCGGGAAACCGGGGCUAAUGCCGGAUAACAUAUAGAACCGCAUGGUUCUAUAGUGAAAGAUGGUUUUGCUAUCACUUAUAGAUGGACCCGCGCCGUAUUAGCUAGUUGGUAAGGUAAUGGCUUACCAAGGCGACGAUACGUAGCCGACCUGAGAGGGUGAUCGGCCACACUGGAACUGAGACACGGUCCAGACUCCUACGGGAGGCAGCAGUAGGGAAUCUUCCGCAAUGGGCGAAAGCCUGACGGAGCAACGCCGCGUGAGUGAUGAAGGGUUUCGGCUCGUAAAACUCUGUUAUUAGGGAAGAACAUAUGUGUAAGUAACUGUGCACAUCUUGACGGUACCUAAUCAGAAAGCCACGGCUAACUACGUG
rnacentral:rRNA from 1 species